GACGAACGCUGGCGGCGUGCCUAAUACAUGCAAGUAGAACGCUGAAGGGAGAGCUUGCUCUUUUGGAUGAGUUGCGAACGGGUGAGUAACGCGUAGGUAACCUGCCUGGUAGCGGGGGAUAACUAUUGGAAACGAUAGCUAAUACCGCAUAACAUUGACUAUUGCAUGAUAGUCAAUUGAAAGGUGCAAUUGCACCACUACCAGAUGGACCUGCGUUGUAUUAGCUAGUUGGUGGGGUAACGGCUCACCAAGGCGACGAUACAUAGCCGACCUGAGAGGGUGAUCGGCCACACUGGGACUGAGACACGGCCCAG
rnacentral:rRNA from 1 species